GCGGGCCAAGGUAGGCGGUCUCUUCCGGUGUCCUGGCAUCAAUUGCAAGGCCAGGGCAAAAAAGGGAGCACUAGAUGUUUGCUACACCACUAUUUUUUGAUUCUAUUCUCUGUGGACUGCUUUGAAAGAACCUGGGAGACCUCCAAACUACGGAAUGUUCAGGAGGACUUGGGGAUAUCCAGGAAGCUGAAAAAGAAUGCAAAAUUUACGGGAGAUACUUAAGAAAUGAAAAGCUAGGGGAAUCCUAGGGACAUACAUCUUGGAAUCAGUGUAAAGAAGUAUUCCCUUGUACUGCAGAAGGAAAAUAUUGACAUUUUGCCAGGAAUGCAUUGAAAGAGCUGGUUGCUCUGGGCAGCACGUACAUUGUAACAACAUGAAUUCUUCCCAUCCACCAUCAAGGUCACUGAGGAUCUCAACUGUUCCAACCUGGACUGGAACAUGGUUCACUGAGCAGCAGAUGUGCAGUUCUACAACUUGCUAUUCUGAACAUGAUUUGAGAGGUGUCAUUCCCAGGCUGAAGGCGAAGGCCAAUAGCAUCUCUUGGCCUCACUUUCAGACAUGGAGGCCAAGUAACUGGGAGUGUGGCCUCCCUUACUCCUUGAACCUGAGGGAGGUCACUUGAACUGGUAUCAUGGCAUGGCAAGCUGAAGCACAGGAUCAGUGCCAGGCAGGAGAGAAAAAUCCAGACCCCUUUUGUGGCACUAUGUGGGAGCUGAGCACUAUGAGACGGUGCAGAGAACAAGGAGCAGGUGCAGUGGAACCCCUAGAGUUGGGCAGUCCUUCCCUGAUGUGUGGGCCCCAGUGCCUGUGUGGGCAUGGUGUUGGCCCCCCUGCAUUGAACAACAAAGAUCCCUGCCUGGUGUUGCUGGGUCAGGGUGACAAUGGACACUGGCUGUGUGUGGAAGCCAAGUGGCCAAAACAGACUAUGUCUUACUUGAACCAGCCUGGGACACCCUCCCACACUGUCAUUCUUUUGUGGUUCCCUGGCCUAACUUUGUGUAGCCAGGGCCCUCAUUGUCCACCCCAAUCUUCCCUGGACCUUUGGAUGGAUUCACAGGAGGAGACACUGCAUGAGUAGCUGACCAAAGUCCAGGUGUCACUGCUCUCUGCUGUCACCCAAAAGUACUGUUGGUGACACAAUCAGGUGCAGACAUUGGGUGACUCAGGGCCUUUUUCUACUCAUCUUCUUCCAUCUUCCAUUCCCUUUUUCCCCAGGCAUCCCUCCCUCCUCCUAUGCUCUAAUCUCCUCGCAAAAGUACACAGCUUGGCUUCUGAUAGCCCUGGCUGGAGUAGAGAGUGCUCUGUGACACUCUCAUUUCUUUUUGGGCCAGAGAAAUUCCAGUACCCACAGUUACAGCUGCUUAGUUAUCAAGUAGAACAAACUAAACUCAACAUGUGUUGCCCAUGCUCCCGGGCCUAGGAUUGACGUUAUCAGAAACCCCAAAUCUUUGCUCCCAGCACUAGCUGUCCUCCUAAGCACAUGAUGGUCACAAUUGUGGGCUCCAGGUCAGUCUGGGGAUUCCUGACUGUGGAGAACGCAGGAGCUGACCUAAGGUGUGGGUCCGUGUGUGACGCAUGCAUACCUGGAUAAGUGGGAAGACAAAUACUUUUGCUCCUGUCUGGCAGGUUCUAGGUAGACACAGAAACUUUGAAGUGGCUCAUGUGGGAUGCACAGAAUGGAAUCAGGCUAGGGAACAUAGGCUGGUGUAUCAAAGUGGGAAGUGGGAAGCAUUGUGCUCAGAUCUGGACCACACAUUGAAAGGAAGGCCAAGUAAGAGUCCCACAGGGCAACUGCAUCUGGGCACAAAUUCCUUCCCACUGGGACCAUGUGUCUCUAUCCUUUGACAAGACCAGCUGACUGUGUUACAAGGCCUGACAGUGCUCUCAGCUGGAGAGAACUAUCACAGCCAUAUUGGGAGGACUGGUCCUCACCUGUAGAGGGAGACACUUUCCUGCUCUCCUGGAAUCACACUGGGGAUCAGGCUGCAUUGUGCACUGUGUGGUCAGACCUGGUGGGUAAGGUGACUCAUCUCUUUUAGCAUAUUUGUGCAUUCUGUGUCUCCUUCUAAUAAAUCUUUCUGAUGCUUGACUUUUAAAAAAAUCUUGGAAGCCAGGCCUCCUGGCACACACCUGUAAUCCCAGCUCUUAGGAGGCUGAGGCAGGAUCCUUGAAAGUUUGAGAACAACCUAGUCUACAAAGUGAGCUAAAGUAUAGCGUGAACUGCAUAGUGAGGCCUUGUUUGAAAAAGACAAAACUAAACUGAAUGAAUAAAAAUGGUGGAUGAGAACACUUCCCAGUAGAGUGUAGAAUUUGGCAUUAUAAUGUGUGCAUAGCUUAUUUUUGUUUCCUUUCUUUAUCCCCCCUUGCUUCUCUCUCUCUCUCUCUCUCUCUCUGUCUCUCUCUCUCUGUCUCUCCAUCUCUCUCUCUCUCUCUCUCUCUCUCUCUCUCUCUCUGUCUCUCUGUCUCUCUGUCUCUCUGUUUCUCUGAGUCUCUGUAUUCUGCAUCCCAGGCUUGAACUUCUGGUAUUUCUGUCUCAGAUUCCCACAGUAUGAGAAUUGCUGUUGUGCAAAACUCUGCCAGUUUUACAAGGUGAUUUCAACAAGCACUGUUUGUUAUGGAAGACUUACAAGCUGUGUGUGUGUGUGUUUGUGUGUGUGUGUGUGUGUUUGUGUGUGUGUGUGUGUGUGUGUGUGUGUGUGUGUGUGUGUGUGCUCUUUUGACUGGUUUAAAGUAAUUCCUCAUUUUUUUUUUUUGUUUUUUUGGUAUCAUGGAUUGAAGUCACAACCUUGCAUUUGCUAGGCAGGUGUUUAUGCUGCUGAGCUAAGUGGCAGCCUAAUGCAAUUUCUUGUGGUUCUCAUUACCUUGAGGAUGUCAUCUGAAAUAAAUAAU